UACGUAGGGGGCGAGCGUUGUCCGGAAUCAUUGGGCGUAAGCGCGCGUAGGUGGUCCCGUAAGUCCGCUGUGAAAGUCAAAGGCUCAACCUUUGAAAGCCGGUGGAUACUGUGGGACUAGAGUACGGAAGAGGCGAGUGGAAUUCCUGGUGUAGCGGUGGAAUGCGCAGAUAUCAGGAGGAACACCGAUGGCGAAGGCAGGUCUCUGGGCAUUAACUGACGCUGAGGAGCGAAAGCAUGGGGAGCGAACAGG
rnacentral:rRNA from 1 species